rnacentral:tRNA from 1 species
GUGGGUUUAGCUCAGUGGUAGAGCACAUGCUUAGCAUGCAUAAGGUCCUGGGUUCAAUCCCCAGUACCUCCA